rnacentral:lncRNA from 1 species
CUUACCUCAGGGCGCCUUCAAUACAAGUUUUUUCCCGGACAAGCGCUCCAAUACCCUCGCGGACCCCUGUCUGGAUAGCUCACGAGGGCACUGCAAUGGCCGUUGCUGGAUGCUCUUGCGGCCACAGCUAUUCGCGCCGCAACCUGACCCCUGAAUAACCCCGUGCCGCACAUAUGUACCUAGCCGAUGGAUUAUGUACAUUCUGGUGAGCUAUUUGGUGAGUGCUGCACAUCAAAUCCCUUUAAAUUAUCUGACGUGGUGAUUCUGAGUCGGCCCCCACUAUGAGGGUGGUUUCCCAGCAUGUCCUUCUGCCCAGCAAUCAGUCAACUUUAUUAACUGUCCAGCACUAGUCACUGUGUGCAGUAGCGGCAGCAUUUACUGUGCAAUCAGGCAGUACAGAAUGCUCACUGAGUGCUCUGUAAUGUGUGAGGUGGGAAAUCCCUCUACUGACUUCAGUAGAUUAUGGAUUGGACUAGGGGUAGAAUUUGGGGUUAAACAAAAGGUAGUAUUAGCGGCAAAUGUAUAAAUGUGGAGUAAUACUGUAGCCGAUAACAGUAGCAGAAUACAAAUAUGGGGUAUGUACAGUGGUGGGAUCGCACACGUAGUCUGUGAAUUUCCUAUAAAUAAAACAUGAUCAGCAGAGUUGACCGAGAUUCAUGAUAAAAUGGUUAAAUGAAAAGUGUCAACAUUCAUAGUUAAAUACUCUGGGGGAAGUGUUCUCUACAAACAUACUUUGUUUGAUGUUUUGAAUUCUGUGACUGCUAUUAAAGUUGUAAUCUGAGCAUGCCAAAGUUAGCUUUAUAAAUGUAAGUCACUCUUAGCAAAUUUUGUUUUAUAAACUAAAAAUUAAUUGAAAUCCUAGACAUAUUGGGCAUUUUAAAUGAGAACUGUCACCUCAACAUUGUCUUUUAAUAUUAUGAUCCUUACAUCAAGUUUUUAAAGUAAAUUGAUUAAAUGUAAUAAUGUUAUUAUAUGUUAAACAACAUGAGAAACUCAUUCCUAUCUUUUAGUAUAUGACAAGAUUCUUAAAGGGGCAUUGUAGGCACUGUAUCUGCUUCAUCUAAUUAAUCUGGUUAUAGUGUCUGGAGCCCCCCAGUUGCCAUGUUUGCAUUCAGCAUUAAAUAGUUUUUCAUGUUUUUAUAUUUUAACACUAAACGAGAUUCCUCAGCAGCCCAUCUGCUCUAUGCUGCUUUGGCAAAUGAGAAAGUAUUAGCCUGAGCAGCAGUUGGCAGCUGUGAUUGUCUGAGUGUCAUCUGACUGCUUUUAGCCUAUCAGGACUUACAUUAACGGUAGGAAUGGGUAUGAUUACAAGGAAGUGUGUAAUCUUUGCCCAAGUCACACCUCUGGAAGAGGUCGGACUGUAAGUGGCCAGGGACCCUUAUUUAGUGUUAAACUGCUCUAAAAUGGUUUAACACUGAAUGGAGGGAAAGUGCCAGGGGACUCCACGCACUAUAACCAAUCGCAAAGAUUUGAAUAUUUAGUUAUAUUGACGAUAGUAUUUAAUUUAGUUUUUUUUAUAUAUAUAUAUAUAUAUAUAUAUAUAAACACAGUGUGCAUUAUGUAAAUUGGAUACAUAUAGGAUUUAUAGGAUAUCAAUAUAAAUUUAGAAUUAUAAAUAACAUGUAUGUGUGCACUUAAACAGAAAAGGUGAGGUUGGGGUAGAAUGAACGCACAUCAAAAGUGACAAAAAGGCCUUAGUCUCAACCCUCUUAAACACAUCACAUCUCAUAAGAGUCCCUUGAUCCUUAAAGGGACACUUCACUGCCCAUAUACAAAAUAAAUACAAAAAACACUGUUUUGUACAUAUACCACAAAUGAAAACUUGCAUGCCUCUAAUUAUGAAUUUUUUCAUUUGAGUUAUAUUUAAAACUUCUAAAACCUGCAGUUCUCUUGUCUGGUGUCUUUGCAGGCCCUCCCCUUCUAACCCCACACAGACUUUCUGUGGCUGUCCAAUCACAGUAUUAUGUAUAGCAGAUAAACCUCUAUGGAAGGAGGAAUAUGGAGUCCUGUGCAGUUUCUUAGCAUUGUCUCUAGCUUAGAAAAUAAGAAUAUCCUAGCAAGAUACGGACGUCAAGUGGAGUGUUAGUAAAAGAGUGCAUGCAGGGCCGGCGCCACCAUUAAGGUGAAUGAGGUUUCCCGGUGGGCUGCCCUGCUGCUGUCUGUGGAUGCUGUGCUGGGCGAGCGGCUCCUUAGCCACCCCCCAGUGCAGCCAUUCAGCUGCUGUAAAUUACCUGCUUGGGGAGCUGAAUGUGCACCCGAGCACAGCACUGUGCUUCCUGCAGGCAGGGGAAGCCGGGAUGUAACCUGGUAUCCUGGAUGCCCCCUGCCUGUGAACACAGGAAGCACUCUGAGGGGAACAGAAAGCAGCUUGUGCUCACAGAGCAGGGCUCUCCUGCUCUCCCAGGAGGAAGAAGAGCAAGAUCCUGUAGCCUGGAUCUCUUCUCAUCACCCAUGUAGGCUCAGGGGGAUUGUUUAUAAUAUUAAUGUUUGUAAAUUGGUGUGUGUGUUAAAUUACUGUGUUUGUGUGUGUAAAUAAAGUGUGAAUAUAUGUAGAGUGGUGUGAGUUUGUGUUUGAGUGUUAGGGAGAGUGUGCAAGUGACUCUGUUAGUAUGUGCAAGUGACACUGGGUGUGUGAGUGUGCAAGUGACACUGUGUGUGGUGUUAGUAAGAGUGUGUAACUGACAAUGUGUAUGUUGGUGAGAGUGUGCAUGUCAGUGAGAGAGUUUGUUUGUGUUAGUGAGAAUGUGUAAGUGACACUGUGUAUGUCAGUGAGAGUGUACAAGUGACAAUGUAUAGGUCAAUGAGAAUGUGUAUGGGUUAGAGUGUGUAAGUUAGUUAGAAUGUGUAAGUGUGUAUGCCAGUGAGAGAGUGUGUGUAUUAGUGAGAUUGUGUAAGUGACACUGCAAAGGUAAUUAUUGCAAUGGUUAAGAAAAUGAAAUAAUUACGGUUCUCGGUUAACGUUAAAGGACCACUAUAGUGCCAGGAAAACAUACCCUCAGGGUCCCCCUCCCGCCCGGCUCUGGAAGGGGGAAAGGGGUUAAAACUUACCUUUUUCCAGCGCUGGGCGGGGAGCUCUCCUCCUCCGAUCCUCCUCUUCUCCUCCCCGUCGGCUGAAUGCGCACGCGCAACAUAAUGCUUUCCUAUGGACGCUGGCGUGCUCUCACUGUGAAAAUCACAGUGAGAAGCACGCAAGCGCCUCUAGCGGCUGUCAAUGAGACAGCCGCUAGAGGGAAUGGGGGAAGGCUUAACCCAUUCAUAAACAUAUUAUUAAAAAAUGGGUUAACCCUAGCUGGACCUGGCACCCAGACCACUUCAUUAAGCUGAAGUGGUCUGGGUGCCUAGAGUGGUCCUUUAACUCCUCUAGUGGCUAUGCAUGGAGAUGUUCAGCGUCAUGCAAAACCUAGUGUCAUGGAAAUACCACUGCAGCGCAGCCAUUAAGGAGCGAAGGUGGACCCAAACCAGCACAUUGGUGCUGGACCUAGGUAAGUGACAGAAGGGGUUUUAACCCCUGCUUCACCACGAGGUGGGUGUGCUUGACAGAGGGGGGAGCUAUAGUGCCAGGAUAACAAGUUUGUUUUCCUGGCACUAUAGUUUCCCUUUAAUGCCUACUCAGUGCGUCUCUUUCCCUAAAUGUCUCUUCACUGUAAUUCAGAGUUUAGUGAAUAAACAUCUAAAGGGAAUGUAGUUGCAUUCAUGAGGGGGCGGCAAAAUGGAUUGUUGCCUAGGGCGGCAAGAAUCCUUGCACUGGCCCUGAGUGCAUGCUAUACUAACGGAUGGUAUGAUUAUCAGAUUUGGUAUAGUAUAACAAUAUAUAGAAACAUAGAAUGUGACGGCAGAUAAGAACCAUUCGGCCCAUCUAGUCUGCCCAAUUUUCUAAAUACUUUCAUUAGUCCCUAGUCUUAUCGUAUAGUUAGGAUAGCCUUAUGCCUAUCCUACGCAUGCUUAAACUCCUUUACUGUGUUAACCUCUACCACUUCAGCUGGAAGGCUAUUCCAUGCAUCCACUACCCUCUCAGUAAAGUAAUACUUCCUGAUAUUAUUUUUAAACCUUUGUCCCUCUAAUUUAAGACUAUGUCCUCUUGUUGAGGUAGUUUUUCUUCUUUUAAAUAUAGUCUCCUCCUUUACUGUGUUGAUUCCCUUUUAUAUAUUUAAAUGUUUCUAUCAUAUCCCCCCUGUCUCGUCUUUCCUCCAAGCUAUACAUGUUAAGAUCCUUUAACCUUUCCUGGUAAGUUUUAUCCCGCAAUCCAUGAACCAGUUUAGUAGCCCUUCUCUGAACCCUCUCUAAGGUAUCAAUAUCCUUCUGAAGAUACGGUCUCCAGUACUGUGUACAAUACUCCAAGUGAGGUCUCACCAGUGUUCUGUACAAUGGCAUGAGCACUUCCCUCUUUCUACUGCUAAUACCUCUCCCUAUACAACCAAGCAUUCUGUUAGCAUUUCCUGCUGCUCUAUUACAUUGUCUGCCUACCUUUAAGUCAUCAGAAAUAAUCACCCCUAAAUCCCUUUCCUCAUAUGUUGAGGUUAGGACUCUAGCAAAUAUUCUGUACUCUGCCCUUGGGUUUUUACGUCCAAGAUGCAUUAUCUUGCACUUAUCCACAUUAAAUGUCAGUUGCCACAAUUCUGACCAUUUUUCUAGUUUAUAUGAGGUCUAGGAAUAGGUAAACAGUAAGUGAUACCACCAGGUUAACCAUUAGUAAGUAAAAUAAGAGUUGCAUAACUAGAGGCAAGCCAAGGUCAUUGUAUGAGCCGAUGCCUGUGUACCAAAAAGCCCUCCAGUUCAAUUGGUAGGGCUUCUAUCUUGUGAGACACCUGAUCCACAAGCAGCCUUACAGGGUUGUGGAUAGCAGAUGGGCAUAGAUUCCAUUUUGGCUCUUGGCCCAGAAGAUUAACAGAUCGCUGAAAUGCAGCUGAAGACCUCCACUGCUGCAGUUGAUGUGAGUGGUUGCUACUUCUGGCGGGACUCGAUCCAGGUCCAAAAGGCUGUACAGACUGCAUCAAAAACUACAUGGAAUCUGGUCUCCCAAUGGGAAAAUUAGUGCUCAAUCAGUGUGGUGGCCAACUUGGGCAUGCCACGAGGAUCUUACUUUAUUCAUUUGCCUUUAAAGACCAGUCUCUUGCUCUGGUGGGGACCGGGAUAAGGGGGGUAAUGGGGCUUCAGAGAGGCUUCAGAAAGCAGUGCAUUCCAGAACAGGAGAUCAGCCGCUUCUCCCAGUCGCCAGUCACCGUAGGCCGCAGAGCUAAAUCUACAGUAUCUCACAAAAGUGAGUACACCCCUCAAAUUUUUGUAAAUAUUUUAUUAUAUCUUUUCAUGUGACAGCACUGAAGAAAUGACACUCUGCUACAAUGUAAAGUAGUAAGUGUACAGCCUGUAUAACAGUGUAAAUUUGCGCUCCCCUUAAAAAUAAGUCAACACACAGCCAGUAAUGUCUAAACUGUUGGCAACAAAAGUGAGUACACCCCUAAGUGGAAAUGUCCAAAUUGGGCCCAAUUAGCCAUUUUCCCUCCCCGGUUUCAUGUGACUUGUUAAUGUUAUAAGGUCUCAGGUGUGAAUGGGGAGCAGGUGUGUUAAAUUUGGUGUUAUCGCUGUCACACUCUCUCAUACUGAUCACUGCAAGUUCAACAUGGCAUCUCAUGGCAAAGAACUCUUUGAGGAUUUGAAAAAAAGGAAUUGUUGCUCUACAUAGAGAUUGCCUAGGCUAUAAAAGAUUGCCAAGACCCUGAAACACGGUGGGCAAGACCAUACAGCAGUUUCACAGGACAGGUUCCACUCAGAACAGGCCUCACACACACAGCACACUACCAGCACCCUCACACACACACACACACACACACACACAGCACCCUCACACACACAGCACCCACACAGCAUCCUCACACACACAGCACCCUCACACACACAGCAGUGUAUGUAUGUGUGUGUGUGUGUGUAUGUAUGUAUGUAUAUAUAUAUAUAUAUAUAUAUAUAUAUAUAUAUAUAUAUAUAUAUACACAUACAUAUACACGUGGAGUGUGUGUUUGUGCUUUAGGGUGCACAACCGUAUGCAAUAGGCUGCCCACGCCUAUGCAUAUGAGUGCUGCCAGCAUUUCUGCAGAGGUUGAAGGGUGGGGAGUCAGCCUGUCAGUGCUCAGACCAUACACCGUACACUGCAUCAAAUUGGUAUGCAUGACUGUCGUCCCAGAAGGAAGCCUUUUCUAAAGAUGAUGCACAGGAAAGCCUGCAAACAGUUUGCUGAAGACAAACAGACUAAGGACAUGGAUUACUGUGGUCCGAUGAGACCAAGAUAUACUUAUUUGGUUCUGAUUGUGUCAAGUGUGUGUGGUGGCAACCAGGUGAGGAGUACAAAGACAAGUGUGUCUUGCCUAAAGUCAAGCAUGGUGGUGGGAGUGUCAAGGUCUGGGCCUGCCGGCACUGGGGAGCUACAGUUCAUUGAGGGAACCAUGAAUGUCAACAUGUACUGUGACAUACUGAAGCAGAGCAUGAUCCCCUCCCUUCGGAGACUGGGCCGCAGGGCAGUUUUCCAACAUGAUAAGGACCCCAAACACACCUCCAAGACGACCACUGCCUUGCUAAAGAAGCUGACGGAACAGGUGAUGGACUGGCCAAGCAUGCCUCCAGACCUAAACCCUAUUGAUUAUCUGUGGGGAAUCCUGAAACAGAAGGUGAGGGAGCGCAAGGUCUCUAACAUCUACCAGCUCUGUGAUGUCAUCAUGGAAGAGUAGAAGAGGACUCUAGUGGCAACCUGUGAAGCUCUGUUGAACUCCAUGCCCAUGAGGGUUAAAGCAGUGCUGGAAAAUAAUGGUGGCCACACAAAAUAUUGAUACUUUGGGCCCUAUUUGGACAUUUCCACUUAGGGGUGUACUCACUUUUGUUGCCAACAGUUUAGACAUUCAUGGGUGUGUGAGUUAUUUUGAGGGGACAGCAAAUUUACACCAUUAUACAGGCUGUACACUUACUACUUUACAUUGUUGCAGAGUGUCAUUUCUUCAGUGUUGUCACAUGAAAAGAUAUAACAAAAUAUUUACAAAAAUUUGAGGGGUGUACUCAGUUUUUGUGAGAUACUGUAAGUGAGAGUCCAACAGACUUGAACACUCCUCGCAUAUAAUGUAGUCUCGGUCCGCAGCAGAGACAGGAGGGUUUAUUCAUCUCAGAAAAGUUUUUUUUUCAGCAAUAGUUUAAAAUUCGGAGAGUCAGAACUAUGCUAAGACUCAUCCAGUCACCUUUAGCACUAGGCACUGAUUUUUUUUUUUUUUAAAGUGGUCAUAAAUUCCAAAAAGGGGAAAGCAAAGAUAAAGAUAUUGUUUGCAAAUAGCCUUCAAUUCCUUAAUUCACAGUGAUGUGCAUGGAAUCUUCAGAUAUUGUGCACUGUAUCCCAGUUCAAUCCUGUUGAUGUAUUAGCUGUGAUGGAUGUUACAGUCAGCAAAUGUGCACUCUCUCUGUGAUAUUUGUGAAUCUCGAAAAAAUUGGGAGCUGGUGUGAAUAAUUAAUAAACAUGUAAAGCACAUUUUAGUUGUAAGUCUUUUUUUAAGUAAACAAUGAGUGAUGAACAAGUUUAACUGAGAUAAUGGGGGUUAGAAGACAACAAGAGGUAAUUAAAAAAUAGAAAUGUACUGUAUGUGAUCUUAAACAGCUGUAAAUAGGGGGAGUUUCUUUCCAUGAGGGAGGUCAAAACACUAUAGAGUUCUGCUGAGACUAGGCUAACUUCAACAGCAAUCAGCAGCACAACACCCAAAACCCUCUUACCCAGGCUUCCCCAUACUCCGGCCCUCCAGAUGUUGCUGAACUACAACUACCAUGAUUCUUAACCUAUUUCAUUAAUAGAAUCAUGGGAGUUGUAGUUCAACAACAUCUGGAGGGCCAGAGUUUGAGGAAGCCUGCGUCUUACCCAACCCUGUUACCUUCGGGGACAGUUUUAAUCAUUUGAGGAGGACGAAAGGUGAUACACUUGACUGUGGUGCCCAUCUUCUGUGCCCAUCCUGGCAAGACCCAGACACCAUAACCCUAUCUGACUUCGACUUGGAAGCAAGUUGUGCGAUGCACACUGAAAAACCUGACAACUCUGUAUGCUUGGAGAAGUACAAAAGGACUUCCCUGAAUACAUAUCCAUUGAAUUGCUUUCAGAGGCCGACUUCCAGAAGCAGAACUGCUCAUGGAUCAGGCACAUUGAGCCCUUCACUCUCUGAACACCAAUUCGGUGCUGCCAAGAGAUGUCAUAGUGCGCAAGUACCUCUUCCACAUUAAAGAAUGCUUCAAGUAAAAGGUAUGCUGGUUGCAAGCAUACUUGCUUUGCUUCUUUCAUGUUUAGGAAAUCAGCAAAUUAGUUCUGACACUCUUGGCUGCUUUUUCUAUUUAAUCAACAGAAAGUGUUAAUUGAAGUUCUUUGCAAAGCUUCUGGGAGCCCUCUUUAAUUGAUUCUUGUUAAACAUGUUUCACUGAAACUACUAUUCCCCUGAACUUCCUAGGAAAGCAACAUACUUUAAUCUGACAAUGCUUUCCUAAGUUUUGAUUUUUUGCUUGUGCGAAGUUUUAAUGAUCUGGAACUGUUCAUAUCUUCAGGGCUUAUAGAAGACUUCAGUUACAUUUCAAAGCUAAAUGGUUUCAUUGAUAAAAAUGUUUCCAUAAGAUAUGAUAUAUGUGAAACACUAUUGUAACUUUUUUUUUCUCUCUUCAUUCAUAUGACUGUACAUGUUUAAAUUUGCAUAUAACCAAAUGGAUACCCUAUCCCCAAUAUAUCUACAAUGCGAUAGUGUUCUAGUCCUAGCCCAAAGCUUAGUGGCUCUUCAAUGGAAGCUGUGUAACAUUCCUUACAUUGGCAAACUGCAGCCCUUAUUUACGCUUUUUGCACUGGUUUGUAAGACUAGUUCCUACCCCCUAAGGAUAAUUGGUGGAACCAUCCUAAUCCUAACUUUUGUGUGAUUUCAGACGUAGUUUAGAGUUAGGGGAGCCAGAGCUCUGCUAGUUAUUACUAUUAACUUGCCUUAGUAGCAUGCACUCUCACACAGACAUUUCCAGGACAUUCUAAAUUGUACAGAACCAUGCUCUACUAGAAGGAAGAAGCGGUCUGCAACCUCUUCCUUUCUAAUACUCUCUCCCUCUCUUUCCUUAGUCCUCAACCUUUCCUGUAUAUGAUCUGAAGGUACCAUUAGGUCACCCAGCCACCCUAAAGUGACACAAAGGAUAAUCCAAUUUCUCUAUCUCUUCUUUCUCUGUUGACUUUCUUAUGAUUGCAUAGGUCCCUGGACCAUAUCCCUACCUGUUCCUCUUCCUACAUCUUGUUCUGUUUUCUGUUAAAUAAGCAUACACAUUGUAUUUUCUAUGUGCCUUAAAUUGAACUGUAUCUCGAUAAAUGCUAAGGGCCUCAACAUUGCAGCUAAAAUACACAACCUCCUUUUUGGGACUCCAAUGCAGAAGUUAUAUUGGUACAAGAGAUUCACUUUACAGACUCACACCACUUCCCUCNNNNNNNNNNNNNNNNNNNNNNNNNNNNNNNNNNNNNNNNNNNNNNNNNNNNNNNNNNNNNNNNNNNNNNNNNNNNNNNNNNNNNNNNNNNNNNNNNNNNGUGUGUAUGGGGGGGCAGUGUGUGUGUAUGGGGGGACAGUAUGGGUGUAUGGGGGGCAGUAUGGGGGGGCAAUGUGUGUGUAUAAGGUGCAGUGUGGGGGCAAUGUGUGUGUAUGGGGGGGCAGUAUGGGGAUCAGUGUAUGUGUGUAAAGUGUGUUUGUGAUAAGGGUAGGGGGGCUUUUUUAAAAAAAAAUAUAUUUUUUAUUUGAAUUUUUAAUUUAAAUAUUCUAUGUCCCCCCUCCCUUCUUACCUUUAUUUAGGAGGAGGGGGGACAUUUCCCUGGUGGUCCGGUGGGGGAAUCCCUGGUGGUUUCAGUGGGGAGAGUGAACUCUAGCCCGCGCUCCCGGGUUCGAGUUCACUCUCGCGAGAUUUGGAGCGUUGCCGUGGUAACCGCGGCAACGCUCCAAAUCUCGAGAGAGGAGGAUCCGGAGGAGCUGCAGCCUGAGCUCCCGGGUCCUCUCUCACUCCCUCCCUCCCCCGCCGGCCGCCAGGAUGGUGCCUGCGGACCGGGGAGGGAGAUCUGUGAUCUCCCCUCCGGUCCGCAGGCACAUUGCAGGGCUAGCACCUGCAUGUGCUGGCAGGGGAGGGAGACUGUCGGAUUUCUCGGGGGGGGGGCAAUUGCCCCGUUGCCCCCCCCCUUGAUCCGCCACUGGCUCCAGCUACCGAAGCUUGCCUGGGUUCUCUUUGGAACUCUUCCAACCGACCAGAUUGCAGCUUUCUUCUUUCAGACAGGUAUUGUCCCCUCUGCCUCUCAGUUCCUCUCCCAAUCAGGUAUCAACUACUCUACUUAUAGUGAUUUCAGCUCUUUUAUAAAGGCAGUUGUGGCUCUCAGACCUAGCUCUUUUUCAAUUGUCCCUGGCUAGCUACAGGGACCAUGCACCCAGCCAAUAAGUCCAUAGGAUCUGUCACUGGGAUUCCUGAACAAACCCACACAGGACAUAAAGUUCCAAAAGGAACUAACAUAAAAUACUUUAUUUUGAACUUGGACUAGCCUUUGGGCACUAGACAUUAACCUCUUAGUGACCAGACUUUUUACAUUUCUGCGGUGUUUGUGUUUAGCUGUAAUUUUCCUCUUGCUCAUUUACUGUACCCACACAUAUUAUAUACCCUUUUCUCGCCAUUAAAUGGUCUUUCUAAAGAUACCAUUAUUUUCAUCAUUCAUCAAUCACAAGUUGGUAUCUGUCAGGAAUCCCUGAAUAACCCUUCACAUCUAUAUAUUUUUUAAAAGAAGACAAGCUAAGGUAUUAAACUUGUUGUAUUUUGACUCUUUUCAUGCAACCAUUUUACCACCAAUCUAUGCCAAAUGUAAAAAAAUUGGUAAUUUUGUUGACACACAUAACAAUUUAAGAAUACAUGUACUGAGAAAUAUAAGGGUUACUGCCAAAGAACACCCCAAAUUGUGUUCAGCAACAUCUUCUAAGGACAGUGAUACCUCCCCCCCCCCGCCAUGUAUAGGUGUGUGGGGUUCUCUGGGGGCUAAAAUACCUUAUUUUGAGGGUGCACAUUCCUGGUUUCCAACUUGGAAUUUUCAUUGCUGGUCAUCAUGCACUCAUAUCCUAUUUGGGAUAUUUUUGAAGUCGACUAAUGUAAUUUACUCCCAUCAAACCAUAUAUUUUUGAAAAGUAGACACCCUAGGGUAUUUCCAAUGGUGGCAUUUUAACACUUUCCAUGCACUAAUUCUACCACCUGUCUUUGUCAACCUUUUGGGUAGUCAUUUUUUUGUGUUAUUUUUCACACACAUUAUACUUUAGGCAUGGAUUCUCAGUUCUUGUUAUGUGUUACUGACAAAGAACACCCCAAUAUGUGUUCAGCAACAUCUUGUCAGGAUUACUGUUUGAUCCAGCACGUAGAACUGUACAGCACGGAUGACAAAUAAGUAACGUAUUACCGGUCCUUAGAAUGGCCGGAUUUAACGUACAAAGAAUAGUCAAAAAAUACUAGCCGAGGUCAGGGAACACAGAAAGGGACACAGCAAUGAGGAAAGCCAGGAGUCAGGAUACCAGAAUAUAGAGAAGUCAAUAAACAAAGCCAAAGUCAAAAAACCAGGUAGAAAACUAUAAACAGGAACGCGCUCUCAGACAACCACAAGGGAAACCACGACAGGGCACUGAGCAGGCUGAGAACUGGGUCUAAAUACCCCUCCUUUAGUUCUGAUAGGCUGUAACCGGCCUUUGACCCCAAAGUCAGUUACCAGGUUUAAUUUGCAUAAUUGCUGCUCAGCAUUAACCCUUCUGUGGAUUAGGUUGCUGCUCAGCACAACUUUUCAUGUGUGGACAGUAAAUGUCAUUAAUCACUUUUCUCUAAGCGGAUGAAUACAUGACACCAGGUUUCAUUUGCACAAUUACGGCUCAGCAUUAACCCUUCUGUUGAUUAGGUUGCUGCUCGGCACAACUUUUCCUCUGUGGACAGUAAAUGUCAUUAAUCACAUUUCUAUAAGCGGAUGAAUAUGUGACACAUCUCCCGAGUACAAUAGUGCCCCCAAUGUACAGGUUUUAUGGAUUUUUGCAAACUUGCAGGGGUCAAAUAUAGGACUUUCCCCUUUUCCAUGUUUGCACAUUGAAAUAUGCCAGAUUGGUUUGUUGGGCCUAUGUUACCUUUGAGACCGUAUAGCAUCCCAGGAAUGAAAAUUAACCCCAUCAUGGCAUACCAGUAAAAUUAGAUAAUCCAUGGUAUUCCAAAUGGGGUAUGUCCGGUCUUUUGUAAUAGCCACUUAGCCACAAACACUGCCAAAGUUAGUGUUCAUAUUUGUUUUUUGCAAUUUUAUUUUUUUUACACAAAAACUGCACUUUUACUGGUGAUUUCAUCGACGUGAUAAGUUUUACUGUUGUAAACACUCAUAUUUGUGUUCAGCAAAGUCUCCCGAAUUGAACAAUACCCCCAUGUACAGGUUUUAUGGUGAUUUGAAAAGGUACAGGGUCAAUAUAGGGCUUGCCCAAUUCAGUUUGCCAGAUUGGUUUGCUGGGUCUGUGUUGCCUUUUGAGACCAUAUGGUAGCCCAGGAAUGUGAAAUAACCCAAAUUAGAUAACCCACAGUAUUCCAAUGGGGUAUUUACAGUCUUUUGUAGUAGCCACUUAGUCACAAAUUCUGGCCAAAGCUAGCGUUUUUAUUUGUUUUUUAUUAAAAAAAAAUUCCAAUUUAUAUUUAAUAUAUAUAUAUAUAAUAUAUGUGUGUAUGUGUAUAUAUAUAUACAUACAUACAUACGUGUAUAUGUAUGUGUUUAUAUAUAUAUAUAUAUAUAUAUAUAUACACACACACACACACACACAUAUAUAUAUAUAUAUAUAUAUACACACACACACACACACACACACACACACACACUUUUAUUUCCUAUAUAUGUAUAAGAUAAUAUAAUUAAAGAAUUUUAUAAUACAUUACACAUAUAUAUGAUUUCAUUAUUAGUGUAUUUUGAGAUAUAUGUGUAUAUAUCUCAAAGUACACUUAUAAUGAAAUCAUAUAUAUGCAUUAUAUAUGUAUAAUAUGUUAUAACAUGGUUUAAUCAUUUUAUAAUAUAUAUAUAUAUAUAUAUAUAUAUAUAUAUAUAUAUAUAAAUAAAUAAAUAAAUAAUUUACUUUUUAGCAGCCUGGGGGACUGUCUGACAGCUCAGACAGUCCUCCUGCUGGCAGCUCCUAGACUCCUUUUGCGGUGAUGUGAUCAUGGUGAUCACAUGGCCCUGGAGGGCCGGGGUGGCCGGGGCUGCUGCAGGGGGACAGCUGGGGUCUCCGGUAGCCCCCCCUGACCGUGAUCGCUGGUCCGGGUAAGUCCAGGGCUCCUAUUUGCCACGGUCAUACUAGGUAUGUCCAUGGUCCUUAGCAACUGUUUUUUUUGUCGGACGUACGUAAUAAGUCCACGGUCUUUAAGGGAAUAUACAUAGAUAUAUAUGUUUUAAGGCCAUUUGGCCUGUAUUUGUGGGAGGGGCUUAAAUUAAUUCACUCCCCUAUAUAAGGGACACCCCUUACCUGACUCAUAUCGCUUGAGGUCAGCAUCAGAAUGAUUUCCACUUCCGGGUCAUCCAGACGCCAUUUUACCUGAUUACUCCAUGAGGUUUUCUAAGCUGAGCUGUGUCAGGAAUCCAGCCACAGGCUUUUCCGGCCUUCCACCUUCUUUCUUCAAUCUAUCGCUGUGGAUGGUGUCCAAGUGACUCACAAACCGUAAGUCGACCUACCCGUUACGCCAGGCAUCAGUCCCACGGCACCAUGCACGGGUCAGGUCCUCACUUUACGGCUGCAUUUUGUCUAAAUCUGUCCUAAAACCAUUGGAUGUUCAUGCAUAUCAUUCGUUUAAAUUCACUUGUUUAUCUGUCACUGGCUCAUUUCGAGCAUUAGCAUACUCCCAAACGGGAACACAUUCUGUUUCAAUUGCCUAAACAUACUAGGCAAUUCUGUGCGUGCAUUUCGAAUCUCACUGCUCGUUUCGUUUUGUUUCCCUGACAUACCAGGCUCACGGUUCGUGCAAUUUUCUACCAAACGGGUAAUAGUUCAUGCAUUUACUAUUGUACUACACACACGCUUCGUGCGUUUACAACCCACGAACAGAACUUUGGUUUGUUACAAUGACUGUUAUUAAGCUAUUAUGUUCACUUAUUGUAUAUUGUCAAACGGGCACUUUGUUUCCCUGUCACACAACUAUAAUGCUGGGGCAUAGCUCACAAACAAUGUUUCACAUAAACCACACUGACCCCUACAGGUCACUCUCAAAAUCUCACGUUAACCUUGCAUUUGGAUUAACCCCUUAAGGACCAAACUCUGGAAUAAAGGGAAUCAUGAUAUGUCACACAUGUCAUGUAUCCUUCAGGGGUUAAAGGGUAUUUUACCAUACAAUCAGCAUUUCUGACCCCUACUGGUCAACAGCAAAACUGUCUUCACAUGUCAUAUACAAUUACCAGCCAAUAUAAAUUACACAUAAGAUUGUUUUAAACAUAACCAUAAACCAUAAAUUAAACUCCAACACAGGCUCAACUUCAGGUUUAAUUCACAAUAAUUUACAUUUCAUAUUAAGACUAACAGUGGUUCUAUCAACACUGCCACCUACAGGUCUGUCAAGUACAUUGACAAUUUUCAUGGGGUUUUACAAACACCAAAACACUGACCCCUAUAGGUCAACAGACAAACAACAUUUCACAUACCAAUCAGUAUCAACUACACUGCCACCUAUAGGGCACUCGGCAGAUCUCCAGUGCACUUGCAUUUUGCAACUCCAUGUUCACUUGCCAUUCAAUAAGGCAUACAACAAUUCACAUAGCAAGCAGUAUAUCAAUAUCUGUUAUAAAUACACAUAUUACACAGUAGCACACGCAUCUGUAUAUACGUAACUGGUAAUAUGGUUCACUUACAUACGGCACUUAAUGGGUUAAGAUUGAUACAUAUUUAACCAGUAUGGAUAUGAUGUUUAAUAUUUACAUAUCACGGCACUUUACUUUCACAUAUACUGUAUGCUUUAAGAUAAGCUUGGUCUAUGCCAUAUUUCCUUAUGCCAUACGAUUUUAUCCAUUCAGGUUACAGUUACUACUAAAAAACCUAUACAGAUUGUCAGGUUCAAUACCAACUACCAGGUACGUACACCUGCUCAUGUAGUUAUUCAUCUCUUACCUUCCCUGGAAUAGUAAUAGUGUACCGGCAAUUAGGGUUCUAGGGCCCAAUAGGUAUUACCCCCUUUUUUCUCUGCAUUAUGCUUCGGUUAGUGGUCCCGCGAGGCCAACACCCCGCCUCACACUAGGAGGCAUACACCCCUCGGGCCACUCGUGAGCUAGCUGCCUCGCAUUGUAUCAUAGAGAGGGCCUCACCUGUCACUCCCCUUCCUAUUUUUCUGGUUACUGUCACCGAGAGGCCAACAUCCUGCCACAACGUUCGGUGGCCACACGAAAUCCCCUCGCGCCAAGCAUAGAUAGAGCCUCUCAAGCCACUUGGCAACUCGCAGGGCCUCACCAGUCACCAAAAAACACCAAGCCUAAUCGUUGCGCCUUACGGCUUAGCUAGCAUGCCGAUACAAGACCCCUGGGUACAAAUAUAUAAUUGCAAUCUUUAUUGAUAUUUAAGUAUUUCUCAAAAAGAUGGUAAAGAAUCACCUCUUCCUAGCACCACGGCUAGAAGUGAUACACCUUCAUCUCUUACCUUCCCUGGAAUAGUAGUAAUGUACUGGCAAUUAGGGUUCUAUGGCCCAAUAGGUAUUACCUCCUGUUUUCUCUGCUUUACGCUUUGGUUAGUGGUCCCGCGAGGCCAACACCCCGCCUCACACUCGGAGGCAUACACCCCUCGGGCCACUCGUGAGCUAGCCGCCUCGCAUUGUAUCAUAGAGAGGGCCUCACCUGUCACUCCCCUUCCUAUUUUCUGGUUACUGUCACCGAGAGGCCAACAUCCUGCCACAACGUUCGGUGGCCACACAAAAUCCCCUCGCGCCAAGCAUAGAUAGAGCCUCUCAAGCCACUUGGCAAUUAGCAGGGCCUCACCAGUCACCAAAAAACACCAAGCCUAAUCGUUUCGCCUUACGGCUUAGCUAGCAAGCCAGUACAAGACCCAUGGGUACAAAUAAUAAUUGCAAUCUUUAUUGUUAUUUAAGUAUUUCUCAAAAAGAUGGUGAAGAAUCACCUCUUCCUGGCACCUCGGCUAGAAGUGAUACACCUUCAAGCAGAGGAGAUGUGGCUCCGACCUAAGGAGGCGACAAAUCCCCUACCCUGCCACAGCAAGGAAAGCAGAGUUAUUCAAACUCCUCCAUACAUCAACGGACAACACGGAAGCAGGGGAAGGCCCAGCAACACCAACUCAGGUGACACCCAGGCCAUGCUAGCCUCACUCAUAAACUCAUGAGCCAAAAAAUUUACGACAGACUGGCAAUCUCGAGUCAGUCACAGCCCUCACAAGGCUGGGCCUCACGCUACUGUACAACCAGCACCAACCGAAACUCGGUUACCUGGUACAAUCAAUUCUUGGUACAAGACGUUAACCCUGCACAUAUGAUCCCGGCACAUUGGGGAAACAAGGCAUAUAUAUGUAUGAUGAUGUAUCUAUGAUGGUCAGACCCAGGGAUUCUAGGUAAAUCGGGAACUGACCAUCCCUUGGUUGUGCUGGCAUUUGGAAUAUGUAGAGAUGCUUAUUUGUGCAGGUACCCAUCCAGAAGGGAUUUUCUCCCAAACAAACGGGCGAGCACUCUCAGGCUCCAGGUACCAGCACCUCUGAACUACCAGAGACAAUUGGUAUUAGUAGUUGCAUUGCAUAUAGACUGUUGCAUAUAUGUUCAAAUCAUUCAGGGCACAUGACAAACCAUGUGUCCCAAUACAACUUACAAAUAACGUACUCACCAUCUGUACACACCAAUGCAUUUUCAACACUACUGACUCAUCACCCUUCCAGACUUGUAGUAGAUUUACUAAGGCUCUGGAGCUUCAAAGGGCUCCCAUACAGGUAUCAUAAAUAAACUCAAGGAAUAUAGUAUGCCCUCACUUACAGUCAGCACAACAGAACCGUCGGCUGUAAACACACUCAUAGCCAAGAUUUGCAGAGGGGUUUUUACUUGGGUUUUCCAAUCUCCACCAUUUACAGCAUGGCACCAAACACAAACACAUUGGUAUUGUCACAAGGGAAUCUUCCCUUAAACAAAGACUAACCAUAGACUUAUUGGCACCACACACCUUCGCUACCCCAAGUCUCAACUCCCUCAUACCCUCCGAGGAGUUUCCUUACUAUACACACCAUUGAUCUACCUUUACAGCUAUCACUCAAGCAUGGGUUGAAGCUUCGUUAAGUAAGACCAAUAUCAUCAACACAGUAAACUGCUACCAUCUACCCUACAAACUGGCACUUACAUGGCAUAAAAUGGGCAAUCCUAUCCCCGCUAAAAGCAGCUGCUGUGGCAUGGGGUAAAUCAUGGUCAGGGUCAUCAAUCCGUUGUUACUCAGACAACUAAGCACAUGUCAUAUCAUCAACAAAUGCCACUCAUCAUCCAUACGAUCAUGGUAUUGCUGGGGAACUCACUUGGUUGGCCACUUACCACAUUUCUUUUACUUUCAUGUACCAGGCGGGGUAUACAUCCUUGCCGACAAUUGUCUCAUUUAUAUUCCAGGCAUGUUCAUCAUACGCUUCCUACAGCCGCCCAUACAGUCACGGCCACUCUUUCGUUCCAGAGACAAAAUCAUGGAUUAGACAUACUCAUGCAGCAUAGCAUGCACUAUCCCACCUAGCACUUUCAUCCCAUACUUGUAGAACGCAUAACACAGCUAUUCACCUGGCUUUAAAGAAUCUCAUUGGAACACGACAUAGCUCAACCUGUGUCAUAACAUUUCUCCUAGGUUUUGCUUCAUUUUUUGCCACCUUAAACUAAAACCAUCUCACACACCAUUAAUUAUAUAUUUUACAGGCAUUCAACAACACAGGAUAACCUAUGGCCAAAACUACCAUAACUUCAUGCUAUCAUACCAGACAAGAAUAUACUCAGAGGUUUUCAGGAAUCCAUCCCCCCACGUUCCUCUCAGAUAUUACCAAUAGCCAUCCAACUUUUCCAUACUUAUCGGACCUAUUAGAGCUACAACCAUUCAAUUAUACUACCAAGUUGGCCAUUACCACCAUGCACACUGCCUUUUAUGCCUUUCUCAGGCCAGAGAAUCCACUACCAUAACCACCACUCAGACAGAUCAUUGUCUUCAACGAUCCCACGUAUGUAAACACAUAUAUCAUUACCUAUUGGCACUACCACAUUCCGAAACGAGUCAACACGCACCAACAGUAGAGAUAAUAUACUAUCCUACCCACAACAAAUGGUGUCCAGUUGCGGUCCUAGAUUCCUACCUUCAAAAAUCCUUCCAGGAAUUAAAUACCGUAAUGCAUUUAAGGAAAUGUCUGGUUAAUUUGUAUAUAUUGUUGACUGUAUUAAAUCUUUGAUUAUUCUUUUUGCCCUCUUUAUUUACAGGCCUACCGUAUCGUCGGUCUCGGCACACCACAACCGACUUGCUCCCUUUAUACUAUCCUACGCUUAUGCUGGAACCUUACUCCAUAUACGGCUAUUUGCCCCGAACACAAGUUUUAAGGCCAUUUGGCCUGUAUUUGUGGGAGGGGCUUAAAUUAAUUCACUCCCCUAUAUAAGGGACACCCCUUACCUGACUCAUAUCGCUUGAGGUCAGCAUCAGAAUGACCCUCCCACCCACUCCUCAUUUCAACACUUUCUCUUUUCUUUCCAUUUACUUUACUUACUCCUUGGUGGGCCCUCUUUAUUUACAGGCCUACCGUAUCGUCGGUCUCGGCACACCACAACCGACUUGCUCCCUUUAUACUAUCCUACGCUUAUGCUGGAACCUUACUCCAUAUACGGCUAUUUGCCCCGAACACAAAUAUAUAUAUAUAUAUAUAUAUAUAUAUAUAUAUAUAUAUAUAUAAUUUCAUUCUAAGUGUAUUUUGAGAUAUAUAUAUAUAUAUAUAUAUAUAUAUAUAUUUGAGAUAUAUAUAUAUAUCUCAAAAUACAGUUAGAAUUAAAAAAAAUUUAAAUAAUUUUUACAGUUUAUUUUAUUUUUAUUUUUAUUUUAUUUUUUAUAUAUAUAUAUAUAUAUAUAUAUAUAUAUACAUAAUAAAUAUAGAUGUUAUAUAUAAACGUGUGUAAUUUUACGCUAAGUUUAUUUUUAUAUUAUUUGUAUAUAUUAAUUAAAAAAAUACACUUAGUAUGACGUUAUAUAUAAGAUAUAUAUUAAUGCCUCAAAUAUAUAACAUAAUUACAGCUUCCGAAAUGUACCGGGAUUGACAUCUGCAAGUGAUACUUUGUUCUUUGUGUUGGUUGUCAAUUGACUUUUUCCCUGUGGUUUUGUGCAUUUUGCCUGGUUGUUUCAUGUGGUUCUUCUUUGGUCGUUCGGGACACUUCAUGCGAACUGAGUCCAUUCGUCUCCCAAACAAGAACCACCCAUGUGCCCCAUUAGAACGUUAAUACCUACCACUUAAGUGCGAAAACCACAAGGGAAACAAUUAAUUUGUAUUUCCGCUGGGUAGCCGCCAUUUCAUAUAACCAUACACAUGGCUGAGAGAAUGGUGGCCAUCUUGUCUCCCGAACGAGGGCAGCGGUGCUUGGUCAUCUAGUGCCUGGAACUAUUUUCGGCUAGGCACUCACGUGAACCCUGAAAAACUGUCGACCACUGCCAUUGCUGUUCCCGACCACCUACAUGAACAGCGUUCGGGAGAAAUAAACUACCAAACAGGGGGUGCAUACAUACCCUGGAAACGAAAGAUUCCCUUGUAUGGUUUUCGCAUGGGAACCCCACGAACGGAGACCGGCCAAGACACAUAUUUCUCUGGAACUAUUUUUGGCUAGCGUCUUGUGUCUGGACAGUCAAAACUUCCAAACAAUGCCAUUCCUGUUCUACCAAACUGAUCUGAGUGAUUCUUGGAUAUGUUGGUCACUCAGAUCAGGGCUAUCAGGGAAUGUGCUUUGUGUGGGGUUCCCAGGUAUGGUUGGAGGACUUUUGGGGUACAGGAUAUUUUGUGGAUUUUUGUGCCUCGGAAAUAAUUAAAUUAGAGGAGUUUACUCAGGCAAAUAUUUCUCAGGCACAAAGGAUCUUGGGAUGGAAACCCCUGCAUAUUCUGCUUGUAAGACCCCUUGCAUGUGACAUGACAUAAAAGCCAUGUAUGUGGAAAUAAAAAUCAGUUAUACCCCCAGAGCUGAGUGUCAUCCAGUUGCUGGGGAUGAGCUGGGAGAUUCUUGGAUUAUUUUACUGUGCCUGACUGUUCCAUUGGAUUGUUUUACUUGUUCCUGACUGUAAUUUGGAGUAACCAGCGGAGAAGUGUCCCUGCUAGGACAAUGGCUCCUCUACAACAAACUAUUGGAAUACAAAGAUAUAUCGAUGCUACAUGUCAGUUUUUACAAUAUCCUAAGUUGCAUAUUACUAGUAUGCCAACAAUGCAUUUUUUUAUUUUACCAACAGAGGGCAAUAGAGAGUCACAACAAGUCUAAAAGAAUUUCCCUUUAAAAAAAGGUUACCCCAACCUUGCAAACCUAAACCAGGGGGUUUCUCCUGCAAGUUCUCUGCAGAAUAAAUGGUACAGUACACUGCCACAGAUCACUUCAAUGAGAUAAAGUGGUCUGGGAGCCUAUAGUGUCCCUUUAAAAAUCUUCAACUUAAAUAUGUCUUUCAAUUAAAUGCCAGUCUCAUCUGGGAAAUACAAGCUUACCUGGCCAACUCUCAACUGCUGGUUAUGAUUUCCUUUAAAUCUCCUGGGAGUUUCCUUUCUGUAAAUUGAAAUUGUUCACGUUUCUAAAAAAUCCAACCCUUGUGAUGACACAAUAUAAAAAUAUGUUUUGAGUUUCAGCUAUCUUGAUAUUUCCUGAAGUCAUUCCAGAUUGUUUGUAAUCACCUAGUUUUCUGUCUUUUACUGAAAGAGUAUCACAGGAUUUGAAUAUACUGUCUAUAUUUUAAAAUAGAUCAAAAUCCCACCCAAGAAAUGACAAAUGUGUGUUUUCACCUGUAACCUUAAAAAUGGUAAGUGAGAACUGAAAACAUCGACAAUUUCCAGUUAAGCUAGGCAUUGCAUUUUUGUUCAGUAACAUAUUUUAAACACAAAUAGUUUCAAUGUCAGCAUGAUUUUAUUAUUAUUACUAUUUUACAUGUCUUUGUGCUGACAGAUUCUUCUGCAUAAUUGAAACAAAAAACAUACAAAAAAACAAAGGCCACAAUUUAAUAUUGUUGAAUAAAGUUUUUAAAUGAUUUAAUAUUUUUUGGAUAAACUUUUAAAAUUAUUUUUUCAACAUAUUAAAAUAUAUUAAAAACAUUAUAUUUAUCAAAAAAGAUAGCAGUAUAAAAAAUUAUGUAUUUAUAUGUAUCCAAAAUAGUAAAUUGUAAAAAUAAUUUGCAAAGUACCAACAAUAUUACAUUGAGGCGUAUUUUGCAAGAUUGCUGGUGAACUUGCAGUCUAAAGGUUAUGAAGGAGAGUUGAAACAAAAGAUUUUCAGAGGACUUUGAAGUUGAUGGCAAGAUUGGUAUAGGGGGAAUUUGAUGAAUAGUUAUUGUGAAGUAGCUAAAUAAGUACUUAGAAGAGAAUUUUGGUAUUUUGGAUAGGUGGUAAAAUGUAUCAUCCUUGGGGAAAUUAAAGAUCAGUUGCAGAUGAAAGUUAAGCUGAGAAAUAAAUGAAACCAUAUACUAAGAUAGGAUAAAAAGCAUUUUCUAUUCUCACUGUGGGGAGGAGCACAAAGGGAUGUGGUGGAGAGGGUUAAAUGGACCCUCCAUUGGCCAAACAGAAAUGGAGGGAAAACAAAAGCGAAAAAAAUGCUUAAAAUAGUCUGGGAGAUGUGGUCGUUGGCAUGGACCAUAGGAUUGAACAAUAUUGAGAGAAAUUCACAGAUUUGAAAGACUGUUGCUGUUAGAACAAUCUCCAUAUAGGAGGGAUUCCCAAGCCUGUUGACCCCAAGUCACUCUGAACAUUUUUACAGCUAUUAUACCCAAGAUCCAUCCUGCCCAGCAGCUCAUGGAUCAUGUCCACAGAGUGAGGGAACCCAAGCAACUCAAGAUGCUUUCUUGAAGGGUUAAUUUUUUCCAUGUGAACGAAACAAACUUAAAGGCAUGUCACCUUAUUCCCAGCAUGGAAAAAUACAAAUAUCUACAGAUCUUUGUGGAUUUCUCCACAGUAAUUCUUAAACAGUGGUCUACUGCACUGAAAACACAACUUACCCUAUCAAUAGGGCUUCCUCACUACAAUCCUUAUCCAGUGCAACAGAGUUCUCUCAGCCAUUAAAUCAUUAGAAGAGACAGUCUCACUUUUGAAAUCCUGGGACAUCAUUGAGCCUUCUACUCAGCUCAUUAAAUCAAGCUCUUCUCUCUGUUUGUCUCCAUAAAUUUGUUUACAGACUUUUUUUGCUUUUCUUUUCAUCCAUUUUAUAAUUCACAUUUUUUUAUUUUUUUUGCCACUACAACACUAUUUCACCUAGGAGUGACAUCCUAUAGGAUUUUAUGAUUUUUAUGUUCUUGUUCUUAAGCUAUUAUUGGUAUUUAUAUCAUUGUUUGCCUCUCAUUGACCUGGCAUCUUAUAAACCUCAUUAUGGUAUUAAACUUACUUUACAUGUGAGUCUCAGAAAAACUGAUUGUUAAAAUGCCGUACACCAGGUAUACUCAAUUAUGCCUACUUUGUUUCUUUAGUCUGACAAUUUGCCAGGUCUAGGCCCAUUAUUUUGCAAACCUUCCCAUUCCUGGGAUAUAACAAGGGCUCGUGUUUAUGUAUAUAAGCAUGUAACUCCACACAGUUUGAUGUACAUAUAAAAAUGACUGUUGUAAUCACCUGCAUAUCUCAAGCUGGAUUUAUGAAGUCCACCUGGGCACAGAAAUUCCAAGAAAUGAAGUUUUCACUACUAUCCCAGAAUUCCCAGGUCAACAUGCAAAUGAGUCUGCAUUUCUGCAGGUAACUUAAGCAAUGUAAAACAGUUUUAAAAACAAUUUAUUUUAAACCAUGGCAUGUUUUUUUGAUCCAAAAGGACCAGUGACCAUAAAACAGUCAUGGACUGCACACUUUUGUCCUUCUGGGUCUUAUAACCAUGGCAAAGGUUCUGGUCAGCAAGUUGCUCGCUGAUUUGUUGCAAUGAAAUUUGUCAUGCCUUGCUUAAUGUACAAAUACAAACUCAGACCAAUGUAUAUGUGUGCUGUGUUUUACAAUAGCAUAUUUCUCGACAUCAAGAAUCUAUAUGAACAGCUAGUGAAUGAUAAUUUGUGUACAUGCAUCCUGCUGUAUGCAUUUAAUUUAUAUUCGUCAGCCAAGCGGCCGUUAUAAAUCUCCUACAAAUCUGCUAUAAAUUCAUUUAACAUUAGUAAAUCUGCAAAUUGUCAACGCAGACAAAUUCAGUAAUUUUCAUCGGAUUUUGUCCAUUCGGAGAAAAUCCUUUGUUUAAUGAACAACCCUGAUAAUGAUAAAUGUUCAGAAAAAAAGGAAAAUAGGAGAAAGAUAGUGCAGAAAGAUUUUUAAAAAAAUAUUUAUAUAAUAAAUAUACAUUCACAGCAUUUUAAAAUGCCCAUUGACGUAUUGGGCUGUGCAAGAAAUUCUAAAUCAAUAAAAUAAACAAACAUUCUAAAUCAAGCAAUAUUAAUAUCACAAUGUUUUCAAGUGUGUUACCACUUUAAGAUAUUCUACAACUUUAGGAUUAAAAUGCCAGUAAUAACUAUAGUUCAAAUUAAAAGUGUAAUUUACUGGUGUGCGGGUACCAAUAAAUAACUUGCAUGUAUUUAGAAAGAAAAUAAAUAAAACUUGCAGGAUUUACAGUGUAACACGCUAUGAAACAAAUCUAGUGUUUCUUGUGUGUUCCAUGGUAAUUGAUGUCGCAUGUAAAGACUUCAAACUUUAAACUUCUGACUUCACAUUUCUCAUGUAAAGACUUCAAACUAGCAGCGAAAUUAGAAACAGCUGUGUAAAUUGUCUAUAAAUCUACUAGAAAUAUUGGGCUGAAAGAAGGAAAAAUUAUCAGAGACAAAACAAUAAUUUAAACCAAAAAUAAACACAAAUGGAGUUUAUUCACAAUAAAGUGAUUUGAAAACUAAAUAGCAAAAUUUAGGUAAUAAAAGCAGAGCGGGGGCGGGGCCUGAUCUCAGAGUGGAGCAGUCUCAUGUUCUCCUGUUAAUGGUGUGCGGAUUUCACCAAAUAUCGACUAAAUCAACAUCUGAAAUUAGUACCCAAGAAGUAAUUUUUUUAGAUCUGAGAAUUUUUUUUGAUACAAAUCUAAUUAAAACUAGUACAUUUUUAAAAACAGUUGAUAGAAACAGCUAUAUAGAUAAUGAUAGCUGCCACUGUACUUCUUAGUUGUCCAAUAUCCCUAAAGGACAAUUUAUAAGAUUAAAAAGAAAUUGUACAGAUGAGAAAAUGUUCAUAGAUCCCAUUUAUUUUUGAUUUUUAACUCUCAGAGCCGUAUUUAUCAGAAAAUUUUCAACACACAUUGACAUAUUUUAAGGCAAAAUGAGGAUCUUCAUACCUACAUGGGAGAAAAACCACAGAUAGUUUAUAGAGGGGCUAAUAAUUUUAAGAAUAUCUUAACUAAAAGUUAUAUCCACAGAGGUUCUGGGGGACAGCAAGACCUACCUAUCGAUGCCAAACAUGCAGACUUUCUUGCUCAUUUCAUCCAUGCGACCUCUGCGGCCUGCAAGUCUGGCCGGAAGUACCCGAAUGUCUGAAUUGCCCGAAAUUUGUCCGAAUUGGCAUUUGGAAGCUCGAUUUGUUGUGUUUACUUAAUAUAACAUCUUACUAGUCUGUCUAGCAUGUAAUGCACCUGUUUAUUCAUGUUACCAUCAAUCGCAUAGUAAGCCGGUAAAGCCUGAUUUUUAUUACAUGUCGUUUUGUCUCAUUACUGACUAUUCAUCCUUCACCCAAUCAUAUAACAGAAAAAUGUGCAGUUUAUUUGAAAGUCAUGCCAAUAAUUCUCUUGUCUUAGGUAUAUUUGCUUGUUACUGCUGUUAUGGCUUGGCAAGCUUGUUGUUACUCCAUGCACGACAAAAAUAAAGAUUGAGGAAAAAAAAAAAAGGAGAGCUGCAUUUGUUUGACUUAUGUUUUUCAAGAUCACUUACGUUGGUUUUCUAAUUGCUCCAGUGAAUGAUUAACACUUAUGAAAUUUACAUCACAUUUUACUGAAACACACCUACGUAAAAACAAAUCUAAAAAAUCAUGCCCUAUAGGAUUACAGCAGUGAGUUGCUGUUACAGUGGGCUACUGUAUAAAGAAUCACAUGUAACACUAUAUAAAAAAACAUCAAUAUUCAUAAACUAUUACAGUUUAUAAAUAUUUAUAUUGCAGUUUUAUUUGUUAGUAUAUAUUAGUAACAUUCAAUAUUUGUACAUCCCAAUCUAUAAUAUACCAGAUAAUAAAUAUUACUAAUUAUUGUAAAACAUGAUAGAAGUAUGAAUUCAAUGGCUUUAAUUCCCUAUGUGAAAGAUCCAUAUCUGAAUGUGAGAAUUAUUUUUGUUUCAUUAGAUUUUACUCAAGGUAAGGUUUUUACAGUAUUUGCAUACAGAACAUUUUUUUUUCCUAUAGUAGAUUUUACGGUUUCUCUUGGCAGUAGUGGCAUACAGGAUUUUGUUUUUCCUUUUAGAUUUCACUUCAAAUAGCAUUUCUUGCUAUUUACUGUACUCACAUGCAAGAGAAAGGAAUAAUUUUUUUAAUUAGAUUUUUAGAUACAAUUUUUACUGUACUUGCAAAAUCAUUGUGAGUUAUUCUCACCUGAGCAUCCUAGGUACCAUGACACAAAGUAUAGCAGUGGCUUUGGUUUUGCCAGAAAGUAUAGUAUGGGACAGUGGUUCUCACAAGAAAAAAGUUAUGUUUCUACUGCAAUUGCUCAAAAACAGUAGAGGAAUUCGUUCCUCUGAUGAGAAUAGCAUGCGACUACUGUUCUUGUGAGGUGUUCUGCAUGAAAUAAUACGGUUUAAUUUUAAUGUUUUUUGGUACAUAUGUUAACAGUAUAAUAAUUUUCUGUUUUGAUCAAUGUCUGAUACCUGCUAUACCAAUGAUUUAGUAAAUUAACCAUGUCCUAAUCCUGCCUACUGCUGGAAGAGAAUUUAUAGUGUAAAUGUUUCCUAUAUCUGUGCAUUUGUACCCAUAGCAGGAUUAAAAUUGCCACUGCCGUAGGCAGAAUGCCAGAUUGGGGCUCCCUUCUACAGCCCUGUGUUAAUUAUUUUGUGAGUGGUGUGUGUGAUGGUUGCAUUAAAUGUGUGAAGGGGGCAAUGUUGAGUGUGCUGUGUGUGCUGGGUAAAUGUCGCGUGUGGUGGCUUAGUUUUGUAUUUGUGGAGGAAUCUGAGGUUGUGGCACUCUGAGUCAUUGAGAAGUGUUGUAGACUUGUAGACUUCCUCAGGAGAUGGUGUUUCUUCAUUCUUCGGCAUUUAAAUAUGCGGGGCUGCGUCCUAGCGCUGUGUUUGUUUUAAAUGCCGAAGCAUCAAGAAACAUCAAUCUCCUGAGGAAGUCUACAAUUAUAUGAAAUGUGUUGAGAAGAUCGGUAACCCCAGAAGGACUCCCAUUCAGCAGUAUUUGAAGACUGGACUCUGUUUUCUGAUUACCGAAGAAGGAAGCUGGAAUGAGACUCUACUAGCUGACUGUUGAUCCUGGGGAUUAAACCUAUUUUGAGGCAACAAGCGCUUGUGCACAUACUUAUUUAUUUCAAUUGUGCCUCUACUUUUGUGAGUGUUCCCACUUUCUUUUUAUAUUUGUGUAUAUUAAAGUUUGCACUAUGAUUUUUUUGUUUAUCUUUUAUAUGUGAGUUUGGUCCUCAACUCAACAUUGUUGGUAACUAUAACCACCACACAUCUUGUGACUGUGGCGCCCUGCACUGUAUUUUCACCUGUGUAUUUUCACCUGUGUGCAAUACAGUUAACUUACAAUUGGUUUUAACAGAGGGAUUCAGGGAGUUUUUCCCAUUUUUCAUUGGCUUGUCUGCAUUAUUUGUCAUUUUUUAGCUUAUGGGUUAUCUAACUCUGUAUGGGGCUUAGUCUAUCUCGUAAAUAUGAAUUAAUGUAACUUUAAUGCAUUUCUGUGAGGUUGAUAAAUAUUGUUUUGGGGUAACUUGUUUCUGAUGAUGACAUUUUCACACACUGUUCUCAAGAAACUCAAGAAGUAAGAGAGAAAUUAUUCAAUUUGUUUGUUUAGAACCAUAAAUUAUUGCAAAUGCCACUUAAAGUAAAAGGAAUAGGCAUACAAGAGAAUAAAGAACAUAUAUAAUCCUAAGUGGAAUUUCGAGAAGAAAUGUGCUCAGAAAAGUGUAUUAAUAGUGGCAAACUUGCAAUAAACUUAUUUUGAAACUGAACUGAUAUUUCCAUUUGUUUUCAUUCUUAAAAACUAAUUAUAAGAAUAAGAAGGGCAUAAUUUCCCUUUACAUGUUACCUGCAAGAGAUUUUUAAAAUAUAUCUAGAAGGCUUGGACUCUGUAUUGCUUCUGGCUGUGCGCAGUGGCGGAUCCAGGGUGGGGGGCAACAGGGCAAUUGCCCCCCACAAGGAAAUAGUGAGGACCACGGUCUCCUCUGUCGGCUCUUGCAGGGCAGGCGCAAUCCAAGACCCUGCUGUUUGCCUUCACGGACCAGAGGGGAGAUUAGGGAAAGAGCUAAGACUUUUUCUAUGUAAACAAAAGGCCUAUUUCUCUCAAACAUUGUUCAUAAAUCUGUCUAAAUCUGUGUUAGUGAGCACAUCUCCUUUGUCACGAUAAUUCAUACACUUCACAGGUGUGGUAUAUCAGCAUGAGUAUUGCACAGGUGUGCCUUAAGCUGGCCACAAUAAAAGGCCCCUCUAAAAUGUGCAGUUUUACUGUAUUGGAGAGGUCCAGAGGGGUAGGGGCGGUCUGGAAACAAGUCAGUAUCUGGUGUGACCACCAUUUGCCUCAAGCAGUGUAACACAUCUCCUUCGCAUAGAGUUGAUCAGGUUGUUGAUUGUGGUCUGUGGAAUGUUGGUCCACUCCUCUUCAAUGGCUAUGCAAAGUUGCUGGAUAUUGUCAGGACCUAGAACAUGCUGUCGUAUACGUCGUUCCAGAGCAUCCCAAUCAUGCUCAAUGGGUGACAUGUCUGGUGAGUAUACUGGCCAUGCCAGAAUUGGGAUGUUUUCAGCUUCGAGGAAUUGUGUACAGAUCCUUGCAACAUGGGGCCAUGCAUUAUCAUGCUGCAACAUGAGGUGAUGGUUGUGGCUGAAUGGUACAACAAUUGGCCUCAGGAUCUCAUCACAGUAUCUCUGUGCAUUAAAAAUCCCAUCAAUAAAAUGCACCUGUGUUCAUUGUCCAUAACAUAGACCUGCCUAUACCAUAAUCCCACCACCACCAUGGGCCACUCAAUCCACAACGUUGACAUCAGCAAACCGCUCACCCACAUAAUGCCAUACACAUUGUCUGCCACCUGCCCUGUACAGUGAAAACCGUGAUUCAUCCAUGAAGAGAACACCUCUCCAAAGUGCCAGACACCAGCGAAUGUGAGCAUUUGCCCACUCAAGUCAGUUACGAUGACGAACUGCAGUCAGGCCAAGACCCCGAUGAGGACGACGAGCAUUCAAAUGAGCUUCCCUGAGACGAUUUCUGACAGUUUGUGCAGAAAUUCUUUGGUUAUGCAAACCAGUUGUUACAGCAGGUGUCCGGUUGGCUGGUCUAAGAUGAUCUUGGAGGUGAAGAUACUGGAUGUGGAGGUCCUGGGCUGGUGUGGUUACAUGUGGUCUGUGGUUGUGAGGCCUGUUGGAUGUACUGCCAAAUUCUCUGAAAUUAAUUUGGAGACGGCUUAUGGUAGAGAAAUUAACAUUCAAUUCACAGGCAACAGCUCUGGUGGACAUUCCUGCAGUCAGCAUGGAAAUUGUACGCUCCCUCAAAACUUGUGACAUCUGUGGCAUUGUGGUGUGUGAUAAAACUGCACAUUUUAGAGUGGCCUUUUAUUGUGGCCAGCCUAAGGCACAUCUUUGCAAUAAUCAUGCUGAUAUACCACACCUGUGAAGUGUAUGAAUUAUCUCGGCAAAGGAGAAGUGCUCACUAACACAGAUUUAGACAGAUUUGUGAACAAUAUUUGAGAGAAAUAGGCCUUUUGUGAACAUAGAAAAAGUUUUAGAUCUUUGUGUUCAGGUCAUGAAAAAUGGGGGCAAAAACAAAAGUGUUGUGCUUAUAAUUUUGUUCAGUGUAUAUAAAGGGAAGGUAUUAAUUUCAGUCCUCAUAUUUAAAAGAUUAUAAAAUUGUAGUGAGCAUUUGAAGUCCCAUUGAUGUCUACAUUGGUUUAAGUAUUUAAAAUGUGCACAAUUCCCUGUAAGCAUGUUAGCUUUUUCUUCAUCAAAGUGAUAAGGUGUGUGACAAACACCGCUUUCCACAGACGUUUGCCACGGACUCCUGGAGAAGUGUGGAAGCUGGCCUCCUGCCCACCAACUAUGGACCAGGUCAGCGACUGUACCCAUAUUGUAUUCCCCCUGGUUCUCCUGGUUCGGCACUUUCUAUCCGUGCGCAUAGAGCCGAACGCUAGCUCCCUGGCAGCUGUUUGCAUGGAGAAAAACCGCAAAUAGACUUCAGGGGGACUUAGCCGUGAAUACCCUGGAACUAUUUUAGGUAUUAAGACUUUGCAGUUCCCGGUCAGUCCCCAUCGGAACUUAGCCACAAUUUUAUGAACCUAUUUGGGGCAUAGGACCAUGUGUGCAGUCAGUCAAAUUAUGACUUCCAGGAAAAUCCUGAACCCCUGAACCGAUCUGGGUGAUUUUUGGAUAUGUUGGUUACCCAGAUCGGGUAAAUUAUGUGAUGUAAUCUUUAGGAGGUUUUAUUUGUUUUAAGGUACUUUUGGAAUGUUUGGGAAAGGUGUGUUUUUUUGUGCCUGGAGAUAAUUGAGUUUAAUACAGUGCUUGACGCAAUUAUCUCUCAGGCACAGGGGAGGGAUUAUCUCGUUUUGUAUGGGAGUGUUCUGGACCUGAGAGCCAAUGUAAUCGUGUGUAUGUUUUUACUGUAGUCUACUUUCAGGUCCAGGGGGGAGUGCCCCUUGCAUAGGGACCUACAUAUCAGGCCAGCUGUGGCUGUCAACACACAUAUUCCAGCUUGUACUCCCAGAACUCUGGGUCGUCUGGUUACUGGGAGGGGAAAUGGCUACUCUUUAAUCACUGUUCCAGUGUGGAGGAUUCAACGGUGAAAGUCCUUAUAAGGACUAGAGCUCCCAGGACUGAGUGCCGUCCAAUUCCUUGGGGUGUCUAGAGUGAAUUCCCCAUUCGACUCCAGAAGGGAGUGGUUCCUGGACCCCAGUCAAGCCACUGUGGGCAGAAGUGCUGCGGUUUGUCCCCUGUUCCAGCUAGGAAGUGGUCCUUGAUGAAGGGAGCUCCAUUAUAAGGUGCUACUUAAAAUAAUAGCUAAAGUAGUUAGCUACUUAGUCUUUAUUAUAAAAAGAAAGAUACAUAAAUGGGCAGACAAAGAAUAACAUAACUUUCUUUUAUAUGCAAAUUUUUACAAAUGUUCACGUAAAUUCCAUUAAACAGAAAUUAUUAAAAUGUGCUUUAAGUUAGGACAAAAACAAUAAAAUUAUUAUUCUCUAACGGUGGCCAGUUAUUUUAAAAUUAGUUUUGAAUUUAGUCUAGGGUGUUUGAUGUUGGUGUGUUAUAAAUCUAAAUGAAAAAAUUGAUUUAAAACAGGCAUUGGCACAUAAGAUAUUUUAAGAUAAAUGGAAACAGAUUGUGAAUAAUAACAAUAGAAAAUGUCAACAUCCGAGCCUAAAAAUGAAGGUUUCAGCACAAAUAGGAAAUGGGAUUUGGAAGAAAAUCAAAGACUGGCAGCCCAUAGGGCAGAAUGGAUUAAACAUAAUCGGUGAAGCAAUAAGAAGUCAAAUAAAGUUCAUUUCUGUUGGCAAUAACUCUGUGCCUUCUGCUGUGUAUGACAAUUAUGUACAUAGCUGUCUUUUGUUUAACACAUCAACACAAUGUUUUGUUAUAAACCUCCAACAAAACCCUGGAUGUAAUAAAAAUGUAUAAAGCUCUUGUAGGAGGCAUAAUACUAUAUACUAUAUAUUACAUAUUUUCUUUUUAGGAAACAGAUGCUUUUUUUGCACCAUUUGGUUCACAGACCAAGUGAAAACCAUAAUUAAUAGAGGGAACAUGAGAUGGAGCAGUAAGAAUCUAUCUAAGAAGACUUUUCUUCUGAUUCUCCAUUUCUUUUCCUCUAUUGAUCACUUAUAUCUUGAUAAAAUCAAAAAUUUUAGCUGUCUUCUAGCCAUCAAUCUUAUUUUUCCAAUUAAUCAUCACUUUUGUUGGUGCAACAACAUUCUGAAUCAAAACAAACAUGUGUAUCCACUGUACAAUUUGUUUAGUUUGUCUCAUUUGUUUCCUGGAUCAGGUUUUUGGGAUUAAAAUUCAGCCAUCAAAAAAAAAAAAAAAUGGUUCUACUGAAUAAAAUUUUCUUGCUGUGCACACAUCUAACGAAAUUAAAUUCUGUGAUUCCAGCAUGUGAGAGAAAAGAAGGUUUGAACUGUCUGUAAAAGUUGAUUAUCAAAAGCUAUCUGUGAAAGUUUGGAUUUAGUUCAUAGCCUGAGAACUUAUUUGCUGAUAAGCAUAAGAAGAAAGGCAUCAGCAUAUGCUGUGACCUUAUAGUCAUCUCUUCUUAGAUUGCAAUAUCUUGAGUGAGACGUAUGGUCUGAAGAAGGGGGUUCAGGAGAUAGGGUGAAAAUAAGUGGGGACAAGGGGCAUCCUUAAUGUGUGCCAUUGGUAAUGGGAAAAAUUGGUGCAGCAACGUUAGGUAAAAGGAGACAGUUUCUAGAAGAGUUAUAUAGUGUGGUGAGGAUGUUGAGAAAGUUGGGGGGAAGCCUAGAUGUGCUAUUACCGUGAACAGGAAGGGCCACUGAUGGCAGUCAAAUGCCUUUUUUGGCUUCUAGGAAUACUAAAGCCAUGGGAAGAUGAUGCUGUUUCGCAUACCAAAUAGAAUCAUUUGUCUGUCUAGUGUUUUGGUUAUGAUUUUAAUGUCAGUAUUAAGUAAUGAGAUUGGAUGAUCUUGUCCAGUAUACUUAUGGUCUUUGUUGGGUUUAGGAAUAAGGCAAAUGUUUGCCGUCAACAUGUCAGGUGGGAGAGAAUGUCCAUGAAGCAUUGCAUUAAAGACCUGAAACUGAGAGGCAAAAUGUGUUUACUGGAGGUUUUAAAAUAUAAUGAUGUAAAGGUAUCUGACCCUGGACUCUCAGUUCAUUCACAUCAAAGUCUACCGACAAGUUUCCUUUCGCUUCUUCUGACAUAGCAGGUGCUAAAAAACUUCAGUCAAGUUGUGUGUGUUUGUAUUCUGCGUGGGUGAGUGGUUGUAUAAUGCAGAGUAGUAUUGUACAAAUGUGUGUGUGAUUGUCUCAGGUUCGUCCGGGAUUGUACCUGAACAGUUGUGAAUUUUAGAAAUUCGUUUAGCCUCUGUUUUACAUUUAAGACAAUUCGCUAGAAGUGAAUUUGCUUUGUUACUCUUUUCAUAGAACUUCUGUUUGGUCCCCAUUAGGGCUUUACACAUGUCUGCUAGUGUAAGAGAAUUUCAGCCUGUCACAAACAGCAUUUAGUAGGGUUAAUUGAGUUGAAGUAGGAUGUCUUUUAUGUUGUUCUUUAAGACAUUUUAGUUUGGCCAUUGGGUCUCAUACGAUUUUAGUUCUAAAUUUUUUAAGAUGAGUAGCUAAGAAGAUUUGUUUCCCACUUAUGAUCGGUUUAUGUGCAGUCCACACUAUUCCGGGGGAGGAAUCUGCUGUGUAAUUGAAGGUGUGGCAGAACAGACCUCGCCACGUGUUCUUGUGGAAUAUAUGGCAUUUGAAAACACUAUUUGUGCCCUGUGACAAAACUGGAGAUUGUGCACAAAUAUGACCAUUGUCCAUAUUUUUUAUGAUUCCCUUCGUUUGUUGCACUGUUUCCCAUGUGUUUCAUCUGUUGGUUCGGCUGGAUAGACUACCAGACAAACUGUGGAGUUACUGGCUGGCCACCAUUUCAUGUAUCAGAAGCACAUGGUGAGAACAAUAGAUGAAGCACAUGGUGAGAACAAUGGAUGGCGGCCAUUUUAACUCACAGACACUGUUUUGACUUUUCUACAUGGUGCCAUCUCGCCGGUAUUUGGUGCACAAAGACAUUGUUCAGUAGUUUUAAACUACAGAACAAGGGACACAUUUAACAGUAAUUAUUUUUCAUAUAGCCUGUAUAUGUUCUGCGGAAUCUGCAUUAAACCGUAUCUUCCAAAUUACUGAACGGAUCUGGGUGAAUUUUGGAUAUGUGAUUCACCCAGAUCCCCCGGUUCCAAGGAUAUAUUGUUAUGGGGUUAUUGUAUGUUUUGGGGUCCCUGUGAUAUGUUUUAUAAUACUGAUUUUUCCUGCCCGUGAUAAUUAAGUUAGUCUAUUGUGUUGAGAUAAUUGUAUCACAGGCAGAGGGGAGGAUUUCUGAUGUAAUGAAUGGGAGUGUUAGCUGUGUUGUAAUGUGUUGAUUGGUUGUUCUUCAAAACCCUGUGGGCAGUACUAUGUUUGCAGGGCCAGACUCGCCCACCGGGAUACCGGGAAAUUUCCCGGUGGGCCGCGGCACCUGGGGGCCAGCCGCGUUCCUGGCUGGAGCCGCCGGGCGGCAGCUUCCCUGGACCGGCGGCCCUUCUCCUCUCACUGCUGUGACUGAUGGAGGAGGAGCAUGUCUCUGUACCAUGCUCCCUCGCGGUUCCAGGCACAGGAAACGCGAGGGAGCAUGGAUGGUACAGAGACAUGCUCCUCCUCCAUCAGUCACAGCAGUGAGAGGAGCAGGGCCGCCGGACCGGGGAAGCUGCCACCCAGUCCGGCGGCUCCAGCCAGGAACACGGCCGGCCCCCUGAAUUAGCUAGGUAAGGGGGGGGGGAGAGGGGAAUAGAGGUUGGAGGGAGAGACACAGGAGGGGAGAGAGAUGGGGAGAGACACAGGGAAAGGGGGAGGAAGAGACACAGGGGAAAGGGGAGGGAGGGAGGAGGGAGAGACACAGGGGAAAGGGGAGGGAGAGAUGGGGGAGGGAACAGGGGGGAGGGGGGGGAGAGAUGGGGAGAGGGAGGACACAGGGAAAGGGGGAGGGAGGAGAUGGGGAGAGGGGAAAGGGAGAAAGAUGAGGAGAGGGGAGAGACACAGGGAGAGAGAUGGGGAGGAUGGAGAGACACAGGAAAAGGAGGGAGGGAGAGGGGAGAGACACAGGGAAAGGGGGGAGGGAGAGAGAUGGGGAGAGACAGGGAAAGGGGGAGGGAGAGAGAUGGGGAGAGGCACAGGGAAAGGGAGAGAGAUGGGGAGAGACACAGGGAAAGGGAGAGAGAUGGGGAGAGACACAGGGAAAGGGGGGAGGGAGAGUGAUGGGAAGGGAGCCCCAUACACACACUGCCCCACACACACACACACACACACACACCAUACACAUUCACACACUGCCCCCACACACACACACACACACCAUACACAUUUACACACUGCCCACCCACACACUGAACCUUUCACACACAUUGCACCACUGCUCCUAUACCCUACUACAGCCCCAUAUCCCAGCAGACUCCAGGUAAGUUGUCAAACUGUUCUUAAACGGUUUGACGACUUACUCUGGGAGGGGGUGCCGACGCUCCUGGCGCCAUAACCACUACACAGAGGAGUAGUGCUUAUUUUGCAUGGAAUAUUUCUUUAAAUAAUCUUCAAGUGCCCCUCUCAGGCUCAGGCUCUGGAUCUGCCACUAGUAUAUGACAUGUAUAUUAAUGUGUGUAUAAGUUUAUAUAUAUAUUAUAUAUACACACACACACCUAUUAUAUUUACACAUAUUAAUGUACAUUUAUAAAUGCAUAAUACACAGAGAAAUUUCAUUAAUAUGUACCAUAUGUAAUGAGCAGAUAUUGGCCCAGUCUUGUUGCUAGGGGCAUACUCCAGCACAAUAACAUAUUUAAAGUGAAGAGCACACCCACAGGACUUCAAAAUAAACAUUUUUUUUAGUUGUGCCCUACAUACAUUCACCAUUUCAGUCCCAUUAACAAGCUUUCCUUAAUAUGUCAAAGUAGUUGGACUGAAACAUUGAUUACAUGCAAAGGCACGUCUGCUUAAAAUAAAUCUGCACUUUUGUUUAGUUUGAAGCCUAUGAGUUCGCUUUUUACGUUGAAGUACUUUUUAAUUUUAAAGUUAUCUGUUCUAACUCUGUAUCUGCACACUAUGCUGGCGCGACGCAUUAUGGGGCUGGUAAAUAUUUUUUUUCCAGGGCUGCUUUUAAUUCCCAGUCCGGCCCUGUAUGUUUGUANNNNNNNNNNNNNNNNNNNNNNNNNNNNNNNNNNNNNNNNNNNNNNNNNNNNNNNNNNNNNNNNNNNNNNNNNNNNNNNNNNNNNNNNNNNNNNNNNNNNGUAAGUUGUCAAACUGUUCUUAAACGGUUUGACUACUUACUCUGGGAGGGGGUCCCGGCACUAUUGACACCAUAACCACUACACUGAGCUGUAGUGGUUAUUGUGUCUGGAUUAUUUCUUUAAAUAAUCUACAAGUGCCCCUCCCGAGAUCAGGCUCUGGAUCCGCCACUGGCUGGAGCUGAAGUGUUCCAGGGUCCCCUGUUUCAGUUCACAUCUAGGGGAUCUAGAGGUGCUUCCUCUUGCCUAAUGGUGAUUUACUCUGUGAAAUGAUGUCCUCACGCUUUGAGGACAUCUAAUGUCCUCAAAUAUCUUAUAGAAAAGUAUUGCUUCAAUGCUUUCCUACGGGGAAACUUUAAUAAAUGUUCGGUGCUUGCUGCACUUGGAGCUAUAAAGAGCUAAGUGUAAAGAGGGUUUUAACCCUUUUUUUUAACUGGAACAAGGUAAUACUUAUCUGCUUACAUCAUGUCACUCUGUUCCUAUUAGCUAAAGCGUCAUCUAUAGAGUUUCCGUAGCAAGCACAGUGCAUGCAUUGUAGUUUCUAUGGAUGGAGAGCAGAAGGAUUUCCUGUGGUAGGUCUUUUCUUCUCUCAAGUGUUAUUUAAUGGAUAAUAGAAGUAUUAUUGGUGGCGCUUUAAGGAAAUAUAAGGUGCAGCUAAAUUACCAAAGUAUAUUGUCAACACAUAUACUUAAAAAACGAAAUAUAGUAUAAAAAUAAAAGGUAAAAGCGCACACAAAAUAGCAGAAGGAUGUUACCUGUAAUAUAUACAAUUUUAUCACAUGACAGGAGGCUUCCUAUUUUGCAUUUCUCUCUUUACUAAACUCCACAGCAGUAAAGAAAGUGAAACAUUUAACCAAUGCAAAAUGCAAUAGGGAGUAGGAAGUUCCUAACAAUUAGGCUCCUCCUCCUCUUUCUUUACUGCUCCAUCGCAGACAGGUCAGAGCUUUUGGCUCCCCUAUGUAUUUGUAUAUUGUAUUUAUUGUAUUUUGCUAUUAUAUUUUAGGGGAUUAUUUUAUUAGCUUGUAGCCUCUCUACAUACUAUAGACGUUCAGGCACUUAUAACUCUAUAUUUCUGAUACUUUUCUGAGUUUAUUAUUAUUUUCACACUUCUCUGGAGUUGUUUACUUCAUGAUGCCUUAUUUUGUAUAGGCUUUUGGGGGCUCCCCCCUUUUUUUUGCAAUCACCCUGCUUGCUUUCAAGCCUUUAUGAGGUAAUCUCAUUCAGAGACCGGCUUUUCUCCCGCUUAGCCUCUUUCCCGCCUGCGGGAGGACCCGGCCGCAUAGCCUCUUUCCCGCCCACGGGAAGACUCGGCCACACGACGGUUUUUACCCAAACACCAUCGUACGCCUUAUCCCCUAUCCCGGUUUCCCCCCCCUCAGCCGCCUAGUCGGCUCUGUCACCUCAUCUCUCAUCUCUCACUCUCACUCCUGCCCUCAUUCCCGCAGCGGCCAUUUGUAAUCUCGGGUCUCGCGAGAUUACGGCCGCCAUUUUAGGAAUCCACUCAGUUCUGCAAGUUCACAACAGGAGACAGUCCUGAAAAUAAGCUCUAUUUCUCAGUCCGUUCACAUUGAAUCUCCAAUUGCUGUAUCUAGGCACUUAAGGGAUCAUAACCCUGUGCCUGUCAGGUGUGCUGCCCUAUAUUGUGCUGCUUGUGGGGGUUGCCUUGUGGCCACCUCUGUGAUCCUGGGUGAGGCCCAGAAAUACUAAAGCCCAAUAGUGUGGUGGUUAUUAUUAUUAUUGUCAUUUUUGUUAUUAUCUUUAUUCUUAUAUUUUUCUAUUGUUGGCUUUGGUACACAAUUUUACCCUUUGCCUGACUAAACGGCAUAGAUCCUGCUGGGAUCUUUAUUACACCAUAUAGCCACAGACUCUGCUGGAGUCCACUGUACCAUCUCCACCACACACCCUGCUGGGGUUUACUCUAUACUUGGAGUACAUAUAUAUUACACACUACUGUACCCUGUUGGGGCCAGCAUAGUGUUACUCAUAUACGAGAUAUACAGCUGAACUGACCUCUAAUAUUCCCUCUAAUAUUCCCUGUGCCAGAAAAUUAUUAAUCUCCAAUAUGGAAACUGCUCAAAAUACAGCAGACCUCCAAACAAUGAUUAAUGAGGCGGUAGCAGCUUCCAUGGAGAAAGCUAUCUCCAUAAUGAUGGCCUCUUAUACCGAUAAGUGGAAACCAUCAAAAACCCACCAACCCCGACACAAUUCGGAUUCAGAGGAUUCAGAACCGCAUAUGAGCCAAGAACCCUCCACCGGCAAACGCCACUGGAAAGGGGAAAAGGGCCAGCAGAACCCGACCAAGGUUAAGGCCCCUGCUAAAAGACUUAAGCCCUCAAAGGACACUACCCCGCCCCCACCACCUGAUUACUCCUCGGAUGAGGAAGAUACACAUAAAAAAUCCCUGGCCAUUCUGGAUGAAUGGCAGGCAGAGGAGUCAGACUCCUAUGAGGACCCAUGUGGCUCUGAGUCCGAAUCUCAACCUGGACUCGUACCACACACGUUACUGGGAGACUCCCAAUUACAUGGCACCACGGAUAACCCGCAGGAAGAUGAAGACACCAUUUUUGACCCAUCAGGUCAGAAACUGUUCGAUCUGAGGAACCUAAGACACCCUUGUUCAGGGGACUGGACACCCCCAGAUCACCUCGCAAAGUUUAUGCAUCGUUGGCUGAGAAAAUCCAUGGACAAGACUGUCCGUAAGCGACUACGGUCCGAAUGUCCAAGUCCUUCUCUACCCGAUUACGUGGCGGAGACACCAGAAUUUGACCAGGUGAUGAUCACCUUCAUGUCCCGAGGUGGCCGGGAUCCACGCAAAGGUGUGGAGAAGGGUUUCAGAGCAGUCCAAGAAAAACUGCUAGACUCGGUGGGACUACUUUCCAGGAUCAUGUACCUGGCGGAUGACGCCCUCACAAAGGCAGACCAAUUUGAUGUAACUAUGGUUCGCGAAUGGGCUCAUGAUGUUCUGGAGCGGGCACAAAGAUGCUUUUGCUUUGUGGGCAACACUAAUACAGCCCCCUCCUCCGAGCGGCGCAAGGCAGCACUACUCCACAUCGACGGAAAGUUGGUGGAAAUGGGCACCAAUCCUCAUAUACCCGAGGAGCGGACAGAGGCCGUGGACCACGUACCCGAGGCAGAGCAUGUUUCUCCACAGGUAAGCAAUCACCUAACUCAUUACCUUCCUCUCCGUACAGCAGGUCGCAUAUCUUUGUUCUUUCAGGAAUGGCAAACCAUCUCCACAGACGCCUCGAUCCUACAAAUGGUUCAAGGGUACAUCAUCGACUUCACGUCACACCCAUGACAAACAAUCACACCGCACCCCAUCAAGUGCUCGACAGAAGAUACCGGAGUCAUACACAACGAGUUGCUAGAACUACAAUCGAAAGGCGCAAUAGAACCCGCCUCCGGACCUCACAGUUUCUUCAGCAACAUAUUCCUAGUAAAGAAGAAAUCAGGAGACUUUCGCCCCGUCAUAAACUUAAAAAGACUCAAUGAAUACGUCAUGUACAGGCACUUCAAGAUGGAAGGCAUACAUCUCCUGAGAGACCUAUUACAGGACAAAGAUUGGUUCACGAGACUGGACCUAAAAGACGCUUACCUCUCAGUACCCGUCCACCUUUCCUGUCGCCACUUCGUACGAUUCCACUGGCAAGAUCGCCCCUGGGAAUUCACGUUCCUCCCCUUUGGCCUCAGCUCGGCCCCAUGGUGCUUCACCAAAUUACUGAAGCCAGUAGUCAUCUUCGCGCACAAGGAAUUCGUUGCAUUAUAUACCUGGACGACCUCCUACUGUUCUGUUCCGACAAGUCCAGACUGACGUAACACACAAACUAUACUAUGGACCUCCUAUCAUCCCUGGGCUUCGUGGUGAACUUUCACAAGUCAGCCAUGUCACCAUCCCAAACGGUGCAAUUUCUAGGAUUCGAAAUAGACUCCACCACAAGCACCUUACGGCUACCUGCCUCAAAGAUGUCAACUAUUCGCAAGGAACUGCGCAAGACUAUUCGCACCCACACCAUUCCACUCCGCGCUCUCGCUCAAAUAGUGGGACUUCUCUCAGCUUCCAUACAGGUGAUCUAUCUGGGCCCACUCCACUACAGGGCGAUGCAACGCCUCAAAGCAUCCUUCCUCAGACACAACCCAUCCUACGACCAACCGAUCCCGGUCACGGAGGAGGUCAGAGACAAACUCAGAUGGUGGCUAGACAGCAUGGAAGCAUGGAACUGUCGUGCCAUCUUCGGGACCACACCUGACAUAGUCCUGGAAUCGGCUGCCAGCCUCUGGGGAUGGGGCGCCACAAGCGCAGGCACAUCAACAGGUGGGGCCUGGACCUUCCAGGACCUCAACCUACACAUAAACUACCUAGAACUCCUGGCAGGAUAAUUUGCUAUCCGCAGCCUAGCAAAAGAAAAUCUGACAGGAUCCAGGAUCGGGCUUCGCCUAGGCGCUACAUCAACCGCCUGGGCGAAGCCCGAUCCCGGAUCCUGUCAGAAAUAACGAAGGAGAUCUUCAAUUUCUGCCUACCCCGCAACAUCCCCCUCAAAGUGGAAUAGCUUCCGGGGGAAACAAACCUCACAGCGGACUGGUUUUCACGCCACUGGAGGGAUGCCAGCGACUGGAAAAUGGAUACACAGAUCUUCCUGGGUCUGGCGGCACAUCGGGGUCAAUUUCACCUAGCUCUGUUCGCGUCUCGCAACAACAGACAAACACAAGCAUAUUUCAGUUGGCUCCCAGACCCGGAGAGCCAAGCAACGGAUGCAUUCCUACAACCAUUGCCGAUCACGGGAGCAUAUGCCUUUCUCCUCUUCGCCAUGAUAGCACGGAUUAUUCACUAGCAAGGAGUAUCUCUGCUACUCAUCACCCCUCUAUGGACAGGACAACCUUGGUUUCCGGACCUCCUAGCCCUAUUGUACAAGGACCCUCUCCUACUUCCCUCACACCAACAUACCUUCACAGAUCCGAAAGGGAACCCUCAUCCGCUCAUCCUGGCCAACCGACUCACCCUAGUGGCUUGGACUCUUUCCGGGGUGCCUGGCAAGUCGGCGAACUAUCGCAGGCUGCACACGUGGAACUCCUGGUCCAAUUGGUGCUUGGAAUGGAACGACGAUCCAUUCACGGCAUCUAUUCCUACCAUCCUAAACUUUCUAACCCACCUGUUUUCUUCAGGACGAUCAUACAGGUCUAUUAACGUAGUCCGCUCAGCCAUUUCAGCGGCCCACGUUCCCACACUGAGGAUCCCAGUAUUAAAAGACCCACUGAUAUGCCGACUUCUAAGGGGCAUUCGACUACAACGACCCCCGGAACCAAAAUAUUCACGACUUUGGGAUGUCGAGGUAGUCCUCCGCUUCCUGAGAGAAUGGCCGGCCAACGACAAUCUCUCUCUCCGGCAACUCUCUGCAAAACUAACAGUUCUGCUUUGCCUAGUUUCAUUCCGCAGGGUAUCUGACGUCCAAGCGUUUGACAUAGAUGCAUUCUCAGUCUCCCCGGAGGGAGUCACAUUCCAGAUAUCGCGUCGCAUGAAGUCGGAGUCUGCAACGGUUUUUUACCCAUUCUUCAACUCCGAUCCACAACUCUGCGUCAUGGCCACACUAUGACGAUAUGUGGAGGUUACGCUCUCGAUACGGACUCCACCCUCGGGGCAACUCCUCGUGUCGUACGUUCGACCACAAAUCCCCAUCACUACUACUACCCUAGCCAGAUGGGUUAGGUGGCUUCCUUCUUUAGCAGGCAGAAAAGCUUCCUUCGGGGCUCAUUCGGUACGUGGAGCAGCGGCUUCCUCAGCUUUCGCAGCGGGUGCCUCAUUAUCGGAUAUCCUACAUUCCGCGGACUGGUCUAGGGAAUCCACGUUUCACACUUUCUAUUGCCGCCCGAACUCCAACGCGGCCUUAUCUCUAUUACAGCAUUAAAAAAUGCAAAAUAGGAAGCCUCCUGUCAUGUGAUAAAAUUGAAGAUUAUGCUAGCGUCAGUGUACCUAUAAUCUUAAUUUUAAUAAUGACAGGAGGCGAGUAUUUUCCCACCCUUUCCCGCCUUAGGGAAGAUGGAACAUCUGAGUUCUGGUAUCACCUACCUUCUUUCUCAUUUAUAUUACUACAUCUGUCAUUAUCUGGAUUUUCACCUGCAAGCACAUUUAGACAGUGGUUAGUAUAUCACAAGCAACACAGAACUUCGGGAUACGGCUGGAAAAUUAAUCUAAAAGGAACAUGAAAAAUAUACACAAAAUAGUGAAGUACAAUUAACACAUUGUUUUCCGCUGAAUACAAAUGCACUCACAGAAUGAAGUAGAAUAUAUCGCUCAUAGGGUGCCUCCCCUAGUGGAAUGCCUCCCCUAGUUGGUAAUCCCUUGGCUCCUUAUAGGCUUCCUUAAUAAUGCUCAGGACUCCAAGCAGGUAAUGGUAAAAAAGAGAUGUAUUUAUUGAUAAAAGGUGAAUAUUCACCAUCAAUAUAAGGUAUAAUAAAAAUUCACCUUUUAUCAAUAAAUACAUCUCUUUUCUACCAUUACCUGCUUGGAGUCCUGAGCAUUAUUAAGGAAGCCUAUAAGGAGCCAAGGGAUUACCAACCCCCCAUUCCACUAGGGGAGGCACCCUAUGAGCGAUAUAUUCUACUUCAUUCUGUGAGUGCAUUUGUAUUCAGCGGAAAACAAUGUGUUAAUUGUACUUCACUAUUUUGUGUAUAUUUUUCAUGUUCCUUUUAGAUUAAUUUUCCAGCCGUAUCCCGAAGUUCUGUGUUGCUUGUGGUUAUCUAUGUUAAAAGUUCGUCUUCUCUGGGUAACGAUCUUGGGAGGCUGUAAUAAUUAAGUUAAGUAUCUGUAUACAUUUCACUACAGUUAUUACCUUGAGUAGUGUGUAUAUUGUACUGUACUAGUGGUUAGUAUAUAUCUGCAUAUACACUUAAUUGUUUAACAAAUUUUAGAUAUACCUUUAUCAUUAAAGUAUUGUUAGAGGGUCAAGGUCACUGUAACAAACAGUUCGAACAUCCCAUUCUAACCCAUUUCACACUCUCAUUUCAGUUUAAUUCCGUGACAUUCUGGAGUUUCCUCGGUAAACUGCCCGG